CCUACGGGAGACAGCAGUGGGGGAUAUUGCACAAUGGGGGAAACCCUGAUGCAGCGACGCCGCGUGGGUGAAGAAGCGCCUCGGCGCGUAAAGCCCUGUCAGCAGGGAAGAAAAUGACGGUACCUGAAGAAGAAGCCCCGGCUAACUACGUGCCAGCAGCCGCGGUAAUACGUAGGGGGCAAGCGUUAUCCGGAUUUACUGGGUGUAAAGGGGGCGGAGACGGCGAUGCAAACCAGGAGUGAAAGCCCGGGGCCCAACCCCGGGACUGCUCUUGGAACUGCGUGGCUAGAGUGCAGGAGGGGCAGGCGGAAUUCCUGGUGUAGCGGUGAAAUGCGUAGAUAUCAGGAGGAACACCGGUGGCGAAGGCGGCCUGCUGGACUGCAACUGACGUUGAGGCCCGAAAGCGUGGGGAGCAAACAGGAUUAGAUACCCUAGUAGUC
rnacentral:rRNA from 1 species